rnacentral:rRNA from 1 species
UACGAAGGGGGCUAGCGUUGUUCGGAUUUACUGGGCGUAAAGCGCGCGUAGGCGGCUUGUUAAGUCAGGGGUGAAAUCCCGGAGCUCAACUCCGGAACUGCCUUUGAUACUGGCAAUCUUGAGGCUGGAAGAGGUUAGUGGAAUUCCCAGUGUAGAGGUGAAAUUCGUAGAUAUUGGGAAGAACACCAGUGGCGAAGGCGGCUAACUGGUCCAGAUCUGACGCUGAGGUGCGAAAGCGUGGGGAGCAAACAGG